UUCAAACCUUAUAAAAAUGUCACAUUAUUUCUUCAUAUAUACUUUAUUAGUAUUAUUUAUUUAUUUGUUUAUUUAUUUAUUUAUUUAACUAGAUGAUGCUAGUAGACAAAAGAAAACUAGAGGUCCCACUCAAAUGCGUAAUAUUUGGGGUACUCGAGAUAAUGAGCACCUAAUAGUCAAUUGGAACAAACUUGGCCAACCUGAUGACAAAUUGGCAACAAAGUUAUCAUCAUUCAUUAGAACUAUUGUGCGUGGUGGGAAAAAUGCACCACUCACUUACAAGAAUUGGCAUAAAAUCCCAAAACAUUACAAAGAUCACAUAUGGGCACUUAUACAGGUAAAUGACAUAAUAUUAUGCAAAGAUCACACGUUAAAAAUAGUAAACAUGAGUAAUAUGAUUAAAACAACACUCUUUAUAAUUUUUUUGUAUUUUUAAUCUUGUAUGUAGAAAGAUUAAUUUUCUAUUAUUUUAUUCUUCUCUCUUUCUCUCUCUCUCUCGCUCUUUCUCUCUCUUUUUUCAGUCAAAGUUUGAUCUUCCAAGUCAUGCUAGGACUUGGGUUAUGAAGUGCUCCAAUAAAAAGUUAAAAGACUGGAAGACAAACAUAAAGAAAAAUUAUUAUAAAAACCACUUGAGUUUUGACCAACAAAAGCAUUAUAAAGAUAGUAGAGUAUAUGCUGAUCAGUGGGAACACCUUAUUAAGUAUUGGGUCAUCGAAGAAGUAAAGGCACAAAGUGAUAAAAACAAAGCAAGUCGUGCAGAGCGAAAGUAUAAUCAUACUACUGGAA